UACGUAGGGUGCGAGCGUUGUCCGGAAUUACUGGGCGUAAAGAGCUCGUAGGUGGUUUGUCACGUCGUCUGUGAAAUUCCGGGGCUUAACCUCGGGCGUGCAGGCGAUACGGGCAAUACUUGAGUGCUGUAGGGGAGACUGGAAUUCCUGGUGUAGCGGUGAAAUGCGCAGAUAUCAGGAGGAACACCAAUGGCGAAGGCAGGUCUCUGGGCAGUUACUGACGCUGAGGAGCGAAAGCAUGAGUAGCGAACAGGAUUA
rnacentral:rRNA from 1 species